UACAGAGGGUGCUAGCGUUGUCCGGAAUCAUUGGGCGUAAAGAGCGCGUAGGCGGCCCAGUAAGUCCGCUCUGAAAGUCAGGGGCUCAACCCCUGAAUGCGGGUGGAUACUGCUGGGCUAGAGUCCGGAAGAGGCGAGUGGAAUUCCUGGUGUAGCGGUGAAAUGCGUAGAUAUCAGGAGGAACACCGGUGGUGUAGACGGCUUUCUGGACCGUAACUGACGCUGAGACACGAAAGCGUGGGUAGCAAACAGG
rnacentral:rRNA from 1 species